rnacentral:rRNA from 1 species
GAUGAACGCUGGCGGCGUGCUUAACACAUGCAAGUCGAACGGAAAGGCCCAAGCUUGCUUGGGUACUCGAGUGGCGAACGGGUGAGUAACACGUGGGUGAUCUGCCCUGCACUUCGGGAUAAGCCUGGGAAACUGGGUCUAAUACCGGAUAGGACCACUUCUUGGAUGUUGUGGUGGAAAGUUUUUUCGGUGUGGGAUGAGCUCGCGGUCUAUCAGCUUGUUGGUGGGGUAAUGGCCUACCAAGGCGUCGACGGGUAGCCGGCCUGAGAGGGUGUACGGCCACAUUGGGACUGAGAUACGGCCCAGACUCCUACGGGAGGCAGCAGUGGGGAAUAUUGCACAAUGGGCGCAAGCCUGAUGCAGCGACGCCGCGUGGGGGAUGACGGCCUUCGGGUUGUAAACUCCUUUCGCUAGGGACGAAGCGUUUUGUGACGGUACCUGGAGAAGAAGCACCGGCUAACUACGUG